CUCAAUGAAUGCAAUAACCUUGCAGAAAGGUGGUGACAGGGCCAAGCUGCAGAACAGACCAAUCCGUAUGUCUCUGAAAUUGCUAGCUUCCUGUCUUGAAGGAUUUUUAUCAUGGUUCAGUUUAUCAUGGACAUGUACAAAAUCUUUUGUAAAAUUCUGGGCAUUGAAGAGCAACUGACAAGACAAAAGUGUCCCCAAAAAUAACAAACGUACAUAUACUCACUCUGAAAAGGCUUGCAUUUUCCAGUUAACAUUUUGACCACAGCAAAAAUCCCAGUAAAUGCAUGUAGCAAUUAAGCACAUGACUACAAGAGUACUAAAGGUACUCUGAACCCCAACAUGUUCAGAACAAUUGUAAAAGUGCUUCUGUUUUUCCCAGGCUAGACACCAUUGGGCACCCUGACCAACCUAAUCUCCAGUGACCAGGUGACCCUCCUGGUCAGUGAGAGAAAGUCUGUUGACGUAGUCUGCCUUGACUUCAGCAAAGCCUUUGACUCUGCCUCCCACAGUAUUCUCCCAGAGAAGUUGGCAGCCCAUGGCUUGGACAGGUACACUCUUUGCUGGGUAAAGAACUGAUUGGAGAGCCAGGCCCAGAGUAUGGUGGUGAAUGGAGUUACAACCAGCUGUGAACAGUCACGAGCACUGGUGCCCAGAGCAGCAGAUAUAGCUGGAAACACCAAUGUCAUGGUUUUGUAACUUCGCUAUUGGUAUUCCACAUCAUAACAUCAUGGACAAAAGAGAAGAACUACGUAUCCCAGAGGACCUCACGGUCAGAGAAGGAAGACACAUCACGGAAGAUACGUCAUCUGGUUGCGCGCAGUUUUUUCUUCACUUUCGCUUGCUGCCGGGAGAGGAGUGGGUGUGCUUUCCAAGCCGGGCGCCUUCAUCAAGUAAGGCUUUCGGUUUCAGAAACUCUCUCACUCUCUCUUUCCCUCCCUCUUUAUCGCUCUUUCGCUCUCUCUCUCAUUUCAUUUGGUUUAUUAUCCUUACUCCCAAUUAGAUUGUAUUAUAUUGUGUCAUCUUGCAUCCCAACAUCAUAGUUAGUAAAAUAAGUUCUCCUUCUUAGAUCGUUGCCGCUGCUUCAUUUUUCUCGGGAAGCCGGGGGGGAGCCCGCAAGCCUACUGCCCCCCUGUCAUGGGCACAGAUCUAUCUAGGUAACUCCGUGACAACCAAACAGUCCCUUUGCAAUCAGCACACAAGAGGUCUCUUGGUAAUUGCUUUUGGUGAGCGGCCAGAGCAACCUCUGCUGUUCUCUCAGAUACAGUGCCAGCUGUUUGGAUGGCAGCAGUCAAGGAGACAGAAACUGUACAAUCUGUUCAAGCUGCUAUAACCCAGACUAUUGUGUACUCCUAGUAGGGACAGUAUGCAAGGAUGGUGAGUGAAAUUCUCCGAAAGGAUUGAUUUUACUGCUGACAAUUAGUUCUUUUACAUGCACUGAGUUCAGACAGUUUCUUUCUUCUCUUUUUUAAUAUUCUUCAUCUGAAGUCCAUGUUUAUAGAAUCAUAGAGUUGCUCAGGUUGGAAAAGACCUUAAAAAUCACCACGCAAUGGCCUCCAGCUCUUCCUUUUUAUUACCCAUGCUGCAUGCAUUAGUGUAAAGGCACCUGAGCUGGGCCUCCUUUUGAGUGACAGUAGUCCUAAUACCCUCAUGACCAUACUCAGGUGUUUCCAUAGCCACCAACGUCACACCAACCCUCGUGUUCUUCCUACAAAAGGGUGAGUCGUGCUCCUCCUUCACCAAGACACAAGCCUGUGGGAUCUUACUAGCUCAUCUCCCUCCUACAAGCACUGGGACGUUACAUACAGGCUCCAUUCUAGUGACCCCAGUUACACCCCCACCCCAAUUUGUACCUAGUUUAAAGCUCUGUCAAUGAACCUUCUCAACUCCUGUCUUAAGACCCCUUUCCACGCGUGGGAGAAGCUAUUCCUAUCGGUUGCCAGUGGGCUGGGUCUCAUGCAAACAGAGCAGAGGUCAAAAAACCCAAACCCCUGCUGGGCACACCAGGCUCGGAGCCAGGUAUUAAUCCAUUG
ensembl:lncRNA